GAUCAGCGACGCCGCGUGAGUGAGAGUAUUUCGGUAUGUAAAGCUCUAUCAGCAGGGAAGAAAAUGACGGUACCUGACUAAGAAGCCCCGGCUAACUACGUGCCAGCAGCCGCGGUAAUACGUAGGGGGCAAGCGUUAUCCGGAUUUACUGGGUGUAAAGGGAGCGCAGACGGCGAAGCAAGUCUGAAGUGAAAUGCAUGGGCUCAACCCAUGAAUUGCUUUGGAAACUGUUUGGCUUGAGUGUCGGAGGGGUAAGCGGAAUUCCUAGUGUAGCGGUGAAAUGCGUAGAUAUUAGGAGGAACACCGGAGGCGAAGGCGGCUUACUGGACGACAACUGACGUUGAGGCUCGAAGGCGUGGGGAGCAAACA
rnacentral:rRNA from 1 species